rnacentral:rRNA from 1 species
CCCCGGGGGGGGCGUGCCUAAUACAUGCAAGUAGAACGCUGAAGAGAGGAGCUUGCUCUUCUUGGAUGAGUUGCGAACGGGUGAGUAACGCGUAGGUAACCUGCCUUGUAGCGGGGGAUAACUAUUGGAAACGAUAGCUAAUACCGCAUAACAAUGGAUGACCCAUGUCAUUUAUUUGAAAGGGGCAAAUGCUCCACUACAAGAUGGACCUGCGUUGUAUUAGCUAGUAGGUGAGGUAACGGCUCACCUAGGCGACGAUACAUAGCCGACCUGAGAGGGUGAUCGGCCACACUGGGACUGAGACACGGCCCAGACUCCUACGGGAGGCAGCAGUAGGGAAUCUUCGGCAAUGGGGGCAACCCUGACCGAGCAACGCCGCGUGAGUGAAGAAGGUUUUCGGAUCGUAAAGCUCUGUUGUAAGUCAAGAACGAGUGUGAGAGUGGAAAGUUCACACUGUGACGGUAGCUUACCAGAAAGGGACGGCUAACUACGUGCCAGCAGCCGCGGUAAUACGUAGGUCCCGAGCGUUGUCCGGAUUUAUUGGGCGUAAAGCGAGCGCAGGCGGUUUGAUAAGUCUGAAGUUAAAGGCUGUGGCUCAACCAUAGUUCGCUUUGGAAACUGUCAAACUUGAGUGCAGAAGGGGAGAGUGGAAUUCCAUGUGUAGCGGUGAAAUGCGUAGAUAUAUGGAGGAACACCGGUGGCGAAAGCGGCUCUCUGGUCUGUAACUGACGCUGAGGCUCGAAAGCGUGGGGAGCGAACAGGAUUAGAUACCCUGGUAGUCCACGCCGUAAACGAUGAGUGCUAGGUGUUGGAUCCUUUCCGGGAUUCAGUGCCGCAGCUAACGCAUUAAGCACUCCGCCUGGGGAGUACGACCGCAAGGUUGAAACUCAAAGGAAUUGACGGGGGCCCGCACAAGCGGUGGAGCAUGUGGUUUAAUUCGAAGCAACGCGAAGAACCUUACCAGGUCUUGACAUCCCGAUGCUAUUUCUAGAGAUAGAAAGUUACUUCGGUACAUCGGUGACAGGUGGUGCAUGGUUGUCGUCAGCUCGUGUCGUGAGAUGUUGGGUUAAGUCCCGCAACGAGCGCAACCCCUAUUGUUAGUUGCCAUCAUUCAGUUGGGCACUCUAGCGAGACUGCCGGUAAUAAACCGGAGGAAGGUGGGGAUGACGUCAAAUCAUCAUGCCCCUUAUGACCUGGGCUACACACGUGCUACAAUGGUUGGUACAACGAGUUGCGAGUCGGUGACGGCAAGCUAAUCUCUUAAAGCCAAUCUCAGUUCGGAUUGUAGGCUGCAACUCGCCUACAUGAAGUCGGAAUCGCUAGUAAUCGCGGAUCAGCACGCCGCGGUGAAUACGUUCCCGGGCCUUGUACACACCGCCCGUCACACCACGAGAGUUUGUAACACCCGAAGUCGGUGAGGUAACCUUUUGGAGCCAGCCGCCUAAAGGGGGGAAAGGG